rnacentral:rRNA from 1 species
AGAGUUUGAUCCUGGCUCAGAAUAAACGUUGGCGGUGCGCCUUAUGCAUGCAAGUCGAACGGGGUUACGGUCUUCGGAUUGUAACCUAGUGGCGAAUGGCUGAGUAACGCGUAAGUAACCUGCCUUGGAGUGGGAAAUAACUUGCCGAAAGGCAAGCUAAUGUCCCACGUGGUAACGAAGUAAAUGCUUUGUUAUUAAAGCCUUAGGGUGCUCCGAGAGGGACUUGCGUCUGAUUAGCUAGUUGGUAGGGUAAUGGCCUACCAAGGCGAUGAUCAGUAGCUGGUCUGAGAGGAUGGUCAGCCAGAUGGGGACUGAGACACGGCCCCAACUCCUACGGGAGGCAGCAGCAAGGAAUCUUGGGCAAUGAGCGAAAGCUCGACCCAGCGACACCGCGUGAGGGAAGAAGGCCUUCGGGUUGUAAACCUCUUUUCUUGGGGAAGAAUUCUGACGGUACCCAAGGAAUAAGCCUCGGCUAACUACGUGCCAGCAGCCGCGGUAAUACGUAGGAGGCGAACGUUAUUCGGAUUUACUGGGCGUAAAGGGAGCGUAGGCGGUUCCUUAAGUCAGAUGUGAAAUCUUCUGAUUCAAUCAGAAGGCGCCAUUUGAUACUGAGGGACUUGAGAAUAGCAGAGGGAAAUGGAAUCCCCAGUGUAGCGGUGAAAUGCGUAGAUAUUGGGGAGAACACCAGUGGCGAAGGCGAUUUUCCAGGUUGUUUCUGAUGCUGAGGCUCGAAAGCGUGGGGAGCGAAGCGGAUUAGAUACCCGCGUAGUCCACGCCCUAAACGGUGGACACUAGACAUGGGGAGGUAUCGACCCCUUUCUGUGUCGAAGCUAACGCCUUAAGUGUCCCGCCUGGGGAGUACGGCCGCAGGGCUAAAACUCAAAGGAAUUGACGG